rnacentral:rRNA from 1 species
UACGUAGGGGGCGAGCGUUGUCCGGAUUCAUUGGGCGUAAAGAGUUCGUAGGCGGCUCAGCAAGUCGGAUGUGAAAGUCCGGGGCUCAACCCCGGGAUGCCAUUCGAAACUGCUGGGCUGGAGCAUGGCAGGGGGAUCUGGAAUUCCUGGUGUAGCGGUGAAAUGCGUAGAUAUCAGGAGGAACACCGGUGGCGAAAGCGGGAUCCUGGGCCAUUGCUGACGCUGAGGAACGAAAGCUAGGGGAGCGAACAGGAUUAGAAACCCCAGUAGU